rnacentral:rRNA from 1 species
AUUGAACGCUGGCGGCAGGCCUAACACAUCCAAGUGGAGCGGAGGAAGGGGGCUUGCCCCUGGUUUCACCGGCGGACGGGUGGGUAAUGCCUAGGAAUCUGCCUGUUAUUGGGGGAUAACUUCCGGAACCGGGCGCUAAUACCGCUAACGUCCUGAGGAAGAAAUGGGGGGAUCUUCGGACUUCACGCUUUCAGAUAAGCCUAGGUCGGAUUAGCUAGUUGGUGGGGUAAAGGCCUACCAAGGCGACGAUCCGUAACUGGUCUGAGAGGAUGAUCAGUCACACUGGAACUGAGACACGGUCCAGACUCCUACGGGAGGCAGCAGUGGGGAAUAUUGGACAAUGGGCGAAAGCCUGAUCCAGCCAUGCCGCGUGUGUGAAGAAGGUCUUCGGAUUGUAAAGCACUUUAAGUUGGGAGGAAGGGCAGUAAGUUAAUACCUUGCUGUUUUGACGUUACCAACAGAAUAAGCACCGGCUAACUUCGUG